GCAGUCCCUUAGGCACAAGUCGAGGUGGACCUUGGAGCCUGGGACUGCAGGGUCCUGAAGCAGGAGUCAGGGAGACCAAGGGAGCAGGCUCUGCUGGGUGGUCCUCCCAGGAAGACCCCAGCCCUCUCUGCCAGAGAAGAUCCUGGGGUGAGGAAGCUCUUGCUCUGCUGGGGUCUGGGCCUGGGACAAUGACUAGGGAGG